CAAUAGCGUAUAUUAAAGUUGUUGCGGUUAAAAAGCUCGUAGUUGGAUUUCUGCCGAGGACGACCGGUCCGCCCUCUGGGUGAGUAUCUGGCUCGGCCUGGGCAUCUUCUUGGAGAACGUAGCUGCACUUGACUGUGUGGUGCGGUAUCCAGGACUUUUACUUUGAGGAAAUUAGAGUGUUUCAAGCAGGCUUACGCCUUGAAUACAUUAGCAUGGAAUAAUAAGAUAGGACCUCGGUUCUAUUUUGUUGGUUUCUAGAGCUGAGGUAAUGAUUAAUAGGGAUAGUUGGGGGCAUUCGUAUUUAACUGGCAGAGGUGAAAUUCUUGGAUUUGUUAAAGACGGACUACUGCGAAAGCAUUUGCCAAGGAUGUUUUCAUUG
rnacentral:rRNA from 1 species